AGCCUGACGUAGGGCUUGAAUCCACGAGCUGUGAGAUCUUGACUUGAGCCGAAGUCCUAGGCCCAACCAACGAGCCACGCAGGCACCCUGACUGUCUAAUUUUGAUCUCUAGUUCCAGCUUGGUUAUUAGUUUCCAGACUUCUCUGUUACCUGACCUCUAACUUUUGUCCAAGUCACACCUUUGGUUAUCUGAAUUUGGUUCCACUCUUAAGUCUUCAGUCUCAACUGCUGAAAGUUUUGAAAUAACAAAACUAUUGGCAAAUUCAUAUUUAAUGUAUGUGUGAGUUUUGGUAUGUAUAUGUGAUUAUACCACAAUUUAACAAAAUGUAGAUAUUACAAAGCUUCCUAAAUUGCCUCCAAAAGUAACUACCAUUUAAAUUAAGAAAAAAAAAACAUGAGUACUUUUCUACCAUGCCCUCCUCAAUGUGGCUUUCAAAAACUUAAUAAAUUCUUUAAAAACAUCAGUAUUGCAGAAAUCAAAGAUUAUGCAUUUCCAACUGCUUGCGUUGCCUCUAAGCCAAGACCACAGAGUUCUGUAUCUCCUUUUUCAAGUUAGAGAUUAUUAAAAUAUAUUCAUCUUUGUUAUAUUAUAUCCACCACCGCCUGAGAAGUAAUAAAACUACUGAAUUAAAAGUAUCAUUAGGUAGAGGGGAAAAAAGUAGGAAAGAAAAAAGGAAUGGAGGUAUUAUAUUUAUUCUCGGGAAACUGAUAUAUUAAAGAAAUUACAUUUUUAAUGUAAUUUUUACCUUGAUAAGCCUAUUUACCCUCUUUAAAAUAAGGGGAUUAACUGAGCUUAGUUUUCUGGAGUCUGACAGUGUUCUUCUUAGACAACUUAUUAAUAAUUCCUAUCCUUAAAACAUUUUUCAACCCUGUAAAAAUAUAUGGGGACAAGAUGAUUUUAUAUAAUAUGUUUCCUUUUUGGAAUGUUGAUAAUACAUUCUAGGGAACUGAUGAGUCAUAAAGGUACAGGUGUGUGACAUUUAAUAACAGUUUAACUUCAUCAUGUAUAGUUAGCACUCACUACAAAUACAUAAGGGAAAAAGCCAUAGUAGAGAGCCUUAGCACAGGGAAGAGAAAUACUGACUAGUGGCUAAUGAUGAAUCUGUUAUAAAAGCUACAUUACUAUGAAGUCCACUCAGUAAAGAAGUUAUGCUCCAGGACAGAACAAACUCCACAAAUAAAGGAAGAGAAGAGGCCUCAUCAAAGAAGGUGUUAUAUUCGAGGAGGAGCCAAGAUGGCAGAACAGCCUGGAAGUUUUUUGUGUGUGUCAC